rnacentral:rRNA from 1 species
GACGAACGCUGGCGGCGUGCUUAACACAUGCAAGUCGAACGGAAAGGCCCUGCUUUUGUGGGUUGCUCGAGUGGCGAACGGGUGAGUAACACGUGAGUAACCUGCCCUUGACUUUGGGAUAACUUCAGGAAACUGGGGCUAAUACCGGAUAGGAGCUCCUGCUGCAUGGUGUUGGUUGGAAAGUUUCGGCGGUUGGGGAUGGACUCGCGGCUUAUCAGCUUGUUGGUGGGGUAGUGGCUUACCAAGGCUUUGACGGGUAGCCGGCCUGUGAGGGUGACCGGCCACAUUGGGACUGAGAUAAGGCCCCGACUGCUGCGGGAGGCAGCAGUGGGGAAUAUUGAACAAUGGGCGGAAGCCUGAUGAAGCAACGCCGCGUGCGGGAUGACGGCCUUAGGGUUGUAAACCGCUUUCGCAUGUGACGAAGCGUGAGUGAAGGUAAUGGGUAAAGAAGCACAGGCUAAAUAAGUG